rnacentral:rRNA from 1 species
AUUCUGGCUCAGGAUGAACGCUGGCGGCGUGCUUAACACAUGCAAGUCGAACGGGAUCCAUCAAGCUUGCUUGGUGGUGAGAGUGGCGAACGGGUGAGUAAUGCGUGACCGACCUGCCCCAUACACCGGAAUAGCUCCUGGAAACGGGUGGUAAUGCCGGAUGCUCCGACUCCUCGCAUGGGGUGUCGGGAAAGAUUAUAUCGGUAUGGGAUGGGGUCGCGUCCUAUCAGGUAGUCGGCGGGGUAACGGCCCACCGAGCCUACGACGGGUAGCCGGCCUGAGAGGGCGACCGGCCACAUUGGGACUGAGAUACGGCCCAGACUCCUACGGGAGGCAGCAGUGGGGAAUAUUGCACAAUGGGCGCAAGCCUGAUGCAGCGACGCCGCGUGCGGGAUGACGGCCUUCGGGUUGUAAACCGCUUUUGAUCGGGAGCAAGCCUUCGGGUGAGUGUACCUUUCGAAUAAGCACCGGCUAACUACGUGCCAGCAGCCGCGGUAAUACGUAGGGUGCAAGCGUUAUCCGGAAUUAUUGGGCGUAAAGGGCUCGUAGGCGGUUCGUCGCGUCCGGUGUGAAAGUCCAUCGCUUAACGGUGGAUCUGCGCCGGGUACGGGCGGGCUGGAGUGCGGUAGGGGAGACUGGAAUUCCCGGUGUAACGGUGGAAUGUGUAGAUAUCGGGAAGAACACCAAUGGCGAAGGCAGGUCUCUGGGCCGUUACUGACGCUGAGGAGCGAAAGCGUGGGGAGCGAACAGGAUUAGAUACCCUGGUAGUCCACGCCGUAAACGGUGGAUGCUGGAUGUGGGGCCCGUUCCACGGGUUCCGUGUCGGAGCUAACGCGUUAAGCAUCCCGCCUGGGGAGUACGGCCGCAAGGCUAAAACUCAAAGAAAUUGACGGGGGCCCGCACAAGCGGCGGAGCAUGCGGAUUAAUUCGAUGCAACGCGAAGAACCUUACCUGGGCUUGACAUGUUCCCGACAGCCGUAGAGAUGCGGCCUCCCUUCGGGGCGGGUUCACAGGUGGUGCAUGGUCGUCGUCAGCUCGUGUCGUGAGAUGUUGGGUUAAGUCCCGCAACGAGCGCAACCCU